UACGUAGGGUGCAAGCGUUGUCCGGAAUUAUUGGGCGUAAAGAGCUCGUAGGCGGUCUGUCGCGUCUGCUGUGAAAACUCAGGGCUUAACCCUGAGCUUGCAGUGGGUACGGGCAGACUAGAGUGCGGUAGGGGAGACUGGAAUUCCUGGUGUAGCGGUGAAAUGCGCAGAUAUCAGGAGGAACACCGAUGGCGAAAGCGGCUCUCUGGAACGGUACUGACGCUGAGACGCGAAAGCGUGGGGAGCGAACAGG
rnacentral:rRNA from 1 species